UACGGAAGGGGCAAGCGUUGUUCGGAAUCAUUGGGCGUAAAGGGCGCGUAGGUGGUCUUGUGUGUCUACUGUGAAAGCGUACAGCUUAACUGUAUUUUGUCGGUAGAAACUGCAGGACUUGAGGCUGGGAGGGGCUGGUGGAAUUCCCUGUGUAGCGGUGAAAUGCGUAGAGAUGGGGGAGGAACACCAAUGGCGAAGGCAGCUCGCUGGGACGGUACUGACGCUGAGACGCGAAAGCGUGGGGAGCAAACAGG
rnacentral:rRNA from 1 species